AUUAGUAGAGAAGCGUGUGAGCCAGCUGCCAAGAAAAGCCGCUAUUGUUUCAUAAGUACCCGUACCGUAAACCGACACAGGUGGAUGAGGAGAGAAUCCUAAGGCCGGCGGGAGAAGUGUUGUUAAGGAACUCGGCAAAAUGACUCCGUAACUUCGGGAGAAGGAGUGCCACAGAGAUGUGGCCGCAGAGAAAUGGCCCAAGCAACUGUUUAGCAAAAACACAGGUCUAUGCAAAACCGAAAGGUGAGGUAUAUGGGCUGACGCCUGCCCGGUGCUGGAAGGUUAAGAGGAGAGGUUAGAGCAAUCGAAGCUUUGAAUUUAAGCCCCAGUAAACGGCGGCCGUAACUAUAACGGUCCUAAGGUAGCGAAAUUCCUUGUCGGGUAAGUUCCGACCCGCACGAAAGGCGUAAUGAUUUGGGCACUGUCUCAACGACACACCCGGUGAAAUUGAAAUACCAGUGAAGAUGCUGGUUACCUGCGCCAGGACGGAAAGACCCCAUGGAGCUUUACUCCAGUUUGAUACUGGGAUUCGGUACUGUCUGUACAGGAUAGGUGGGAGGCUAGGAAAUGGUGACGCCAGUUGCCAUGGAGCCAACCUUGGGAUACCACCCUUACAGUACUGGGUUUCUAACCUGCAGCCGUAACCCGGCUGGGGGACAAUGUCUGACGGGGAGUUUGACUGGGGCGGUCGCCUCCGAAAGAGUAUCGGAGGCGCUCAAAGGUUCCCUCAGAACGGUUGGAAACCGUUCGAAGAGUGCAAAGGCAGAAGGGAGCUUGACUGCGACACCGACGGGUGGAGCAGAUACGAAAGUAGGACUUAGUGAUCCGGUGGUAUAAAGUGGGAUUGCCAUCGCUCAACGGAUAAAAGCUACCCUGGGAUAACAGGCUUAUCACUCCCAAGAGUUCACAUCGACGGAGUGGUUUGGCACCUCGAUGUCGGCUCAUCGCAUCCUGGAGCUGUAGCAGGUUCCAAGGGUUGGGCUGUUCGCCCAUUAAAGCGGUACGCGAGCUGGGUUCAGAACGUCGUGAGACAGUUCGGUCCCUAUCCGGCGUGGGCGUAGGAUAUUUGAGAGGAGCUGUCCUUAGUACGAGAGGACCGGGAUGGACAAACCUCUGGUGUAUCUGUUGUUUUACCAAAGGCAUGGCAGAGUAGCCAAGUUUGGCAGGGAUAAACGCUGAAGGCAUCUAAGCGUGAAGCCCCCCUCAAGAUAAGAUAUCCCAUCUUCGGAGUAAGACCCCUUGAAGACUACAAGGUUGAUAGGCUUCAGGUGUAAGUGCGGUAACGCACUCAGCUGAGAAGUACUAAUAGGUCGAGGACUUAUU
rnacentral:rRNA from 1 species